rnacentral:tRNA from 1 species
GGAAAUAUGGUGAAAAGGAAGACACAAUGGACUUUUAAUCCAUUUAUUUGAGGGUUCGAUUCCCUCUGUUUCCA